rnacentral:tRNA from 1 species
ACGAAAGAUUGAUGGCCGGUAAGAAUCCACAACAAGUUGUUCUUCGAAGAUGUAUCUGAGGGUCUGUAGCUCAGUUGGUUAGAGCACACGCUUGAUAAGCGUGGGGUCACAAGUUCAAGUCUUGUCAGACCCACCAAAUCUGAAAGAUAUGUCGUUCAUUAUGAUUAAAGCUGGGGACUUAGCUUAGUUGGUAGAGCGCCUGCUUUGCACGCAGGAGGUCAGGAGUUCGACUCUCCUAGUCUCCACCACGUACUUUACGAAGUGCGAGCUAAAUAGAUUAUAGAGUUUAAUGAAUACAGUCUAAGUUGACUGGUUUGUUAAUCUCUGUGAUUUAUCACAGUUUACUGCAAGCUGACGAGGCUGUAGUUAAUCAUUAACAGAUUAGUAGAAUUGAGUCUGAAAUAAAUUGUUCACUCAAUUCAUUCGAAAGAAUGAAAUUGAGAACUAGCAAAAACACUGAAUCAAGCGUUUUGGUAUAUGAAUUUAGAUUGAAGCUGUACGGUGCUUAAGUGCACGAGGCAACAAACUGGAUGAGAGCGAUGUGAGUUGAAAAACAAACAUAGCAAUCUGUCCUAACCUUACUUGUAAGGGUUAGCGACUGUUUGGGGUUGUAU